rnacentral:rRNA from 1 species
GACGAACGCUGGCGGCGUGCUUAACACAUGCAAGUCGAACGAAGAGCGAUGGACGCUUGCUUCUAUCACUCUUAGUGGCGAACGGGUGAGUAACGCGUAAUCAACCUGCCCUUCAGAGGGGGACAACAGUUGGAAACGACUGCUAAUACCGCAUACGAUCCAAUCUCGGCAUCGGGACUGGAUGAAAGGUGGCCUCUAUUUAUAAGCUAUCACUGAAGGAGGGGAUUGCGUCUGAUUAGCUAGUUGGAGGGGUAACGGCCCACCAAGGCGAUGAUCAGUAGCCGGUCUGAGAGGAUGAACGGCCACAUUGGGACUGAGACACGGCCCAGACUCCUACGGGAGGCAGCAGUGGGGAAUCUUCCGCAAUGGACGAAAGUCUGACGGAGCAACGCCGCGUGAGUGAUGACGGCCUUCGGGUUGUAAAGCUCUGUUAAUCGGGACGAAUGGUUCUUGUGCGAAUAGUGCGAGGAUUUGACGGUACCGGAAUAGAAAGCCACGGCUAACUACGU